AAAUGAAUUGACGGGGGCCCGCACAAGCGGUGGAGCAUGUGGUUUAAUUCGACGCAACGCGCAGAACCUUACCAGCCCUUGACAUGGCGGCUGCGGCCUGGGGAGACCCGGGCUUCCCUUCGGGGGGCCGUCACAGGUGCUGCAUGGCUGUCGUCAGCUCGUGUCGUGAGAUGUUGGGUUAAGUCCCGCAACGAGCGCAACCCUUACCUUCAGUUGCCAGCGGGUUGGGCCGGGCACUCUGAAGGGACCGCCGGUGACAAGCCGGAGGAAGGUGGGGAUGACGUCAAGUCCUCAUGGCCCUUAUGGGCUGGGCUACACACGUGCUACAAUGGCGGUGACAGUGGGCAGCGAAGCAGCGAUGCGGAGCCAACCCCCAAAAGCCGUCUCAGUUCGGAUCGCAGGCUGCAACUCGCCUGCGUGAAGGUGGAAUCGCUAGUAAUCGCGGAUCAGCACGCCGCGGUGAAUACGUUCCCGGGCCUUGUACACACCGCCCGU
rnacentral:rRNA from 1 species